CUACCGUCACCGUAAGGUGUCGGGACGGGCCGGCAGAAGUCAGCAGAGGCCGUAGUAGCCGGAGUAACCACCCGGCAAAGGGC
rfam:Desulfuromonas sp. DDH964, complete genome.